UCUUUGCUACCUUUGAAGGACCCGCCCGACGAGACGCGCCGUACCGGGACAGGCCCUUCGCGGGCUUACGACAAGACGACGCACC
rnacentral:ncRNA from 1 species